rnacentral:rRNA from 1 species
GACGAACGCUGGCGGCGUGCCUAAUACAUGCAAGUAGAACGCACAGUUUAUACCGUAGCUUGCUACACCAUAAACUGUGAGUUGCGAACGGGUGGGUAACGCGUAGGUAACCUGCCUGGUAGCGGGGGAUAACUAUUGGAAACGAUAGCUAAUACCGCAUAAUAUUAAUUAUUGCAUGAUAAUUGAUUGAAAGAUGCAAUUGCAUCACUACCAGAUGGACCUGCGUUGUAUUAGCUAGUAGGUGAGGUAACGGCUCACCUAGGCGACGAUACAUAGCCGACCUGAGAGGGGGAUCGGCCACACUGGGACUGAGACACGGCCCAGACUCCUACGGGAGGCAGCAGUAGGGAAUCUUCGGCAAUGGACGAAAGUCUGACCGAGCAACGCCGCGUGAGUGAAGAAGGGUUUCGGAUCGUAAAGCUCUGUUGUAAGAGAAGAACGGGUGUGAGAGUGGAAAGUUCACACUGUGACGGUAUCUUACCAGAAAGGGACGGCUAACUACGUG